CUUGCCUCACGCUGGAGCUGGCUCUCCAGCCCGGAACCGCUGGCUCUGAUUGGCUGCGGCGGCCCCAAUGGAUGGCGGAGGAGACAAAGUGAUGGUUGCAGGUCGCCUGAGGUCCCACCCCGGCCACGUGCGGCUGCUGUGAUGACAGGUCUAGAGGGGCGGGACCUCGGCCCGCAGUCGGCGGCCUAGGCUGACCGGAUCCGGCCAGAGGUGGGGAGCCAGAACCAGCGCCAAAGCGUCAGCCUGCGGGUGCCAAGCCUGAGUAGGGCCCUCCUAGGCUUUCGAGCUGGUGUGAGCUGCCUGCGAAACUUGAACCUCUUAGUGAAGCCGUCUGCGUUAGCGCGCUUAUUUGCCCUAAUGGGGGAGGUCUGUGGGGUUUGCAAAGUAGUGCCAUGAGUCUCAGGAUUCUGUGAAAAUGCGGGAAUCUGAUUGGCGGGGUCUCAAGACUGUGAGGAUGAGCAGUUUCCGCAGCCUACGCUUUGCGGGAGAUUCUGAAUUUUGAGAGACUGGCAGUACGAGUCAGAUCUGUACCUGUGGAGGUAGGUCAGCAAGAAGUCUGUGAAUUUAUGAGCCUAAGUAUUAAUACGGAGUUAUGGGAGCCUGCAAUCGCCGGAGAAAAGAAGAGUCUUUGCUUUGUACAAGUGUCGAUUGAACUAUGUGACAGUUACGUAUAUUCUGUAUUUUAAUUAGCGCUUGAAUCUUCUCUCCAACUACCCCCAGCCCCACGGGUUCCCGAGAUACAGCAGGGGAAGUCGACGCUUUACGAGCUACCGGUAGAUGGCAGCACAGGACCCUUGCAGAACUCCGUGGCUCUGAGCUCGGGGCCUGGCGGGCUUCUCUCUGGAGCCAGCGGUAUUUAUGGCUGUGUGAUGGACUGGACAUGUUAAAGUUCUCUCAAAGUCUCAGAUUCUUUAGAUCUCUGUGACUUUCUUUCUGCUGCCUUAUGUUGCAGAAAAAUGGAGAACAAGAGAAUGGUCAUGUCCCAGGUCUCAGGAAUCGGUCUUUUUGCUAGCAGGAUUGUUUUAUUUCCCCAGUAAGAGCAACACAGUAGCCAAUUUAAAAACAAAGCAGGGACUUCCCUGGUGGUGCAGGGGUUAAGAGUCUGCCUGCUGGUGCGGGGGACGUAGG